rnacentral:lncRNA from 1 species
UUAGUUUUUACGUAUUUAUACAUUGAUAUUUGUUUUUCGUGAUUAGUGCAAUAUAUUUUAGAUAUGUCUCCAUAUAACUAAUUGUAUUCAAAAGAUCCAGAUCGAAUCGGAUAAUAUAAUGAUUUUUGGUUCAAAUAUCCAAAUUAUUUUCAAAUACGUUCGUUAUUUGAAUAUUUUUACUUUUCUGUACAUCAGAACCAAAUUCAUACAGACCCGGAAGAUCCAACUUGAAACUCACACAUAAAUUUAAAUCCAAACAUGGCCUAAUUUCAAAACCAAAAAAAUCUAUACCCGAAAAAAA